rnacentral:rRNA from 2 species
CCUAUCCUGCAGUCGAGCGAACUGAUUAGAAGCUUGCUUCUAUGACGUUAGCGGCGGACGGGUGAGUAACACGUGGGCAACCUGCCUGUAAGACUGGGAUAACUUCGGGAAACCGAAGCUAAUACCGGAUAGGAUCUUCUCCUUCAUGGGAGAUGAUUGAAAGAUGGUUUCGGCUAUCACUUACAGAUGGGCCCGCGGUGCAUUAGCUAGUUGGUGAGGUAACGGCUCACCAAGGCAACGAUGCAUAGCCGACCUGAGAGGGUGAUCGGCCACACUGGGACUGAGACACGGCCCAGACUCCUACGGGAGGCAGCAGUAGGGAAUCUUCCGCAAUGGACGAAAGUCUGACGGAGCAACGCCGCGUGAGUGAUGAAGGCUUUCGGGUCGUAAAACUCUGUUGUUAGGGAAGAACAAGUACAAGAGUAACUGCUCGUACCUUGACGGUACCUAACCAGAAAGCCCCGGCUAACUACGUGCCAACAGCCGCGGUAAUACGUAGGUGGCAAGCGUUAUCCGGAAUUAUUGGGCGUAAAGCGCGCGCAGGCGGUUUCUUAAUUCUGAUGGGAAAACCCACGGCUCAACCGUGGAAGGUCAAUGGAAACUGGGGAACGUGAUUGC